GUUUCCCAGCCUGGAGCCUCCGUCCAUCUUGGCUGCGGCAGAGAACUUGAUUCCAAAUCCCAUGUCAUUUAGUGCUUGAUCAGGGCGUUGAGAUCGGCCUAUUCAGUGGUAUCCUUGGGUCUACAUCCUGGUUCGGAGGGUCGGCAGUUUGGUUCCAGCCGAUCGUGUGAUGUGGACGGCUUCAGGAGAUUCUUCAGCGUUGUUCCUGUUGUUCCAGUUCGCUUCCGGAUGGAUGGCGCUUUUGUUCCCAGGCUGUUCCGGUUCCUGGUUGGCGGUUCAGUUGGACUUUUCGGUUUGGACUUACAAAAGAAAGAGGAGGUUUUGCAGGCGGUGUGGCCUGUCAGAGGGACUAUGGGGAGGGGCUGAUCACAUGUUUCAAUAUUUUUAUUUGUUCUUUGCUUCUAUUGGUCAGAGUAAAGAAGGAGAAUAGCAAUACUCGCCUCCAUGUCUUUAAUAAAAUCAUGACUUUACGUCAUGAAAUAGGAAAAUCACCUGAUUGUACACCCUGGACAACGAAGUCCCAUUACAGCAAGUGGACAGAGGAUAUACCCGAGGACUCCCCGCACUGGCUGACUACGAUUAGAAAGCCCGAUUUGUGAAGGACUUACCUGCCGCUAGGCGCGGGGGUCUGAUGCCAUGUACUUAUCUUCACAUGCAGAGCAGUUUUGGGCACUUACUGAUCUACUAGGGAGCAGCAGCCCAAUGCCUUAAGAGCAGCGAGGCACAUGGCAGACUGGAUGCAGAAAUAACCCCCACCGUUCACCCUUUUCUGCAAUCUCCGCUCAGACAGACACAAUAAUGACCAGUGUGAACGCAGCCUGACAGAUCCAGAGCAGAACAUGGCUUGCUCUUAAGAAAACGCAGCUCUAGAGACGAGAGGCGUCUGAUCAGGGACACAGGGUGGUCCCAGUAACGCGAUCG